CGUUUGACCUCGGAUCAGGUAGGGAUACCCGCUGAACUUAAGCAUAUCAAUAAGCGGAGGAAAAGAAACCAACAGGGAUUGCCCUAGUAACGGCGAGUGAAGCGGCAACAGCUCAAAUUUGAAAUCUGGCUCUUUUAGAGUCCGAGUUGUAAUUUGCAGAGGGCGCUUUGGCUUUGGCAGCGGUCCAAGUUCCUUGGAACAGGACGUCACAGAGGGUGAGAAUCCCGUACGUGGUCGCUAGCUAUUGCCGUGUAAAGCCCCUUCGACGAGUCGAGUUGUUUGGGAAUGCAGCUCUAAAUGGGAGGUAAAUUUCUUCUAAAGCUAAAUAUUGGCCAGAGACCGAUAGCGCACAAGUAGAGUGAUCGAAAGAUGAAAAGCACUUUGGAAAGAGAGUCAAACAGCACGUGAAAUUGUUGAAAGGGAAGCGCUUGCAGCCAGACUUGCUUGCAGUUGCUCAUCCGGGCUUUUGCCCGGUGCACUCUUCUGCAGGCAGGCCAGCAUCAGUUUGGGCGGUGGGAUAAAGGUCUCUGACACGUUCCUUCCUUCGGGUUGGCCAUAUAGGGGAGACGUCAUACCACCAGCCUGGACUGAGGUCCGCGCAUCUGCUAGGAUGCUGGCGUAAUGGCUGUAAGCGGCCCGUCUUGAAACACGGACCAAGGAGUCUAACAUCUAUGCGAGUGUUUGGGUGUCAAGCCCGAGCGCGUAAUGAAAGUGAACGGAGGUGGGAACCCGCAAGGGUGCACCAUCGACCGAUCCUGAAGUUUACGGAAGGAUUUGAGUAAGAGCAUGGCUGUUGGGACCCGAAAGAUGGUGAACUAUGCUUGAAUAGGGUGAAGCCAGAGGAAACUCUGGUGGAGGCUCGCAGCGGUUCUGACGUGCAAAUCGAUCGUCAAAUUUGGGCAUAGGGGCGAAAGACUAAUCGAACUAUCUAGUAGCUGGUUCCUGCCGAAGUUUCCCUCAGGAUAGCAGUA
rnacentral:rRNA from 1 species